UUAAGCUUCUUAUCGACGAUUUUUCUGACAGGGUAUUGUUUUUAGCGCGUUGUGGACGUAAGAAAAUCUUACUUAUUCAAAAUCGACUCCUACACGAACAACUUGCUCCGACGUUGCGCGACUAUAAUGAGAUUUUACUUGGAGCGAGUAACAAUGAAUAACUUGACUACAGAGAGUAUGAACGAAUCUUCACGUGAAAACCUUUUGGACUAUUGAAUUUACAAAGCAAUUAGCGAUAUAUUGGCGUCAUUGCUUUACGUGUCGUGCAGAAGUAAUCUCAGGGCAGUUCGUAUAGUUCAUGUAUUUCAUUUACUGUUGUAUACCUCACUCGAUAUCUAAUUUUUCCUACUCUUCAACUUACCGAACCCAAAAGCUAUCUUGAAAUUUUUGGACUUAUUUGACAAAUGGGAUUGGUUUAGAACUAUUUCGACGGCAGAUAUUUUUAGAGGUAUAUUUUGAGCUUGUUUUUUAAUGACUUAAAUCGAAUGGUUUUGUAUAAAAAACGAAGUUUACUGCAACUUUGUUGUGCUAUUUUUGAUAUUUUUUUGAAUACAAAAAUAGAACUGCGAAAAAUCGUACACCGAUGCAUUUAAAUUUAAUUGUAUUUAAUUACUAGCAUCUUUAAUCAGUAGCGCCCUCCUUGGUGACUGCAAAUGGCUCCGGCACGUCUUCAACUCCUGAAUCGGCAAUAAUUACUUCCUUGCGAGGCUUGUCAUAAACAUCAGUCGGAGUAUGUUCGAUCUUGCGUACAAUGUCCUGGAAACAAAGAAAUAGCAAUAAUGGCCUUAAAUCUUAAAACAAAGAACUGCUUACAAAAAACUCUAGAUAGUUACUAACCAUUCCUUUAAGAAUCUUUCCGAACACCACGUGUCUGCCAUCGAGCCAGGAAGUAGCUUUUGUAGUGAUGAAGAAUUGAGAUCCAUUCGUGUCUUUUCCAGCAUUAGCCAUGGACAGCCAACCUGCUCCAUAGUGCUUCAGCUUGAAGUUCUCAUCGGGGAAUCGCUCUCCAAAGAUGCUGCGGCCUGAUAAACAAAAUAAAAUCUUUUAAUUAACAAACAGCAUGACCACGAAAUGAGUGAAAUGAAGCAAAAAAAUACAAUCAUUUUUUAAAUUACGCCAGGUCAGGUUACGCCCAAAUUGUCUAAUUACAAAUCAUAGACAGCAAUUUUUCUUUUCAUUCACAUUCUUUUCAUUAAUUUCUACUACCAUUAUGAUAUUACAGAGGCUUGACUUUAUUGGCCUUUUACUCGAAUGUCUAAUCAUUCCUUUGUUCAUCAAUUCUCGGUUAUCACUUGAAUACUCUGGACAUCCUCAUAUGACAUAGUUGACGUCGUUUAAAUUGCGGUUUUGCUUUAUACAGAUUUUAAUGCAUUUUUUUAAACGCAGCCCUUAUUGGUAGAACCAAUACUUUCCAACAUCAACAAUUGUCGGGAAUUUGUUACUAUUAAAUCUAAUUCAUUGAACUGUAAUUUGAUUUGCGUCAUUCAACACAUUAAUUGACAAAGUAUAACAAACAAUAAAGAUAACAUGUAAAAUAAAGUUUCAAGAGGUGCAUUGAUUGAUUGAAGUUGGUUUUUGGUCUGGUCUUCUAGAAGUCAGAAGAUUAUUACUAACCUCCAGUGCCGUCGCCUUUGGUGAAGUCACCCCCCUGGAUCAUAAAGUCCUUGAUGACACGAUGGAAUUUACUGCCUUUGUAACCUUCACCUUCUGGUUUUAACGCCAGCUCAGCAAAGUUCUGGACAGUUUUUGGCACAGUCUUACCGAAAAGUCCAAUCUCAAUUCUUCCAGCAUCACUAUCACCAAUCUUAAUGUCAAACCAGACCUAGAACAUCAAAACAUGAUCAACAAACUCUUCGUAUGACUCAUAAGAUGUGGCAAAAAUUAAAUUGUUACAUUUGGCUUUCGAAUUUGUGACGUUCAAAUAAUGAAAUACAUACCUUUUGUGUUACUUUUGGACCGUUUGCUACUUUGUCAGCAGUAACUACAAACAAUAACGCUAAUGCACCAACAAAAUAAAUUAAAGACCUCAUUGUUACCCCUCAAUUGGUUGGAACACGACAGGGGUGAUUGUGCUUUAUAGACAGUUGGAGGCUUUGUGCCGCGUGGCUCGGACCACGGAGCAACAAAAGCCGGUUCUCCAGUACCACUGUCACUUAACGUGGAGUCACUUGAUUGGCGGAAUUUAUUACAACUGGUCUUCAAAUUGACCAAUUCUGUAGCACAAUGUAGUACAAUGAAAAGAUAAAAUAAUCUUUGACCAUUAUUUUGGAAAUUUCUUAGAAAACAUGAAGAGGCCUUUCUAUGACGCAUCGUUUAUUUUGAUGGAAAAUGUUUUUCCAAAAUAGUUCUCCGUCAUUUCUAAUUAUAUCCUAUAACUAUAGUAGAAAUAAACUCCGUUUCGAAGAUGGUCGCAAAAUAGAAUGAAUUUUUGUUCAUCAUUUUUUCUCUUGACUACUGCAUUCAAAGCAAAGAUGUGAUUGCGAUUUUGUCAGUAGCAGAAGUUGAAUAACUUUUUUUCAUCAGGGCAGAUGUAUACUAUACAAUAGUUCUUUAGAAAGUGCCUCUUUAUUUCAUGAUCAAGAAAGAAUGGUCUUCAAUAUGAAAAUACUUCAGAAUUGAAGCUUAAAAAACCAGAAAAAUAAUUCCAUUUUACUUCAUACGAGGAGUUAUUUUCUUGGCAUUAAACAAUUGCCGUCUUCUAUUCACUCUUAAAGAAUUUGUUUCUCAGGAUAAUAAAAAAAUUCAUGGAACUAAAUGUCACGGAAUGUCUCUUGCGAGCUAUAUUAAGUUUUAUACAAACUCCUCCAGUAUAGAAGGAAUAUUUUUCCCCCUCCGAUGUAGUAAUUCCUCUCACAAGUUUCAUGUCCUUCAAGGAUAUUCCAGUAUCUCAUAUAGUUUGAUAUAUACCUAUAGGUUCAGCUAUUUUCAAUCAAUAAAUGUGACAGGAGCGUCCAGACCUACUGGGUUCAAACUGCGAAAUCGAAUGAAGCUUAAUGGUAGUCAGCAUGGAGUCAAGUGAAUAUCGUCAAAUCUGUCUAGUACACAGCAUGCUUUCAGACAAAAAAUGAACACAUCAUUUUAUAAUGAAAUUUUCUUUAUUGCCUUUGCAUAUUUUGAUGAUUCAUUAUUAACAAAUGGGUAUUGGUUUCACCUAAAUACGUUUCAAAUCAUCCCUACGUUUUAACGAUGAAUUAUUCAAUAUUUAUGACCUGUUGCGCAUUUCAAAUCUAUAAUUAAUAAAUUACAACUUUACACGAGUGUUUAAUUUAGUAUGAGUUACAUAUAAUCAAUGUUUUUUUUUCUUUUCGUGAAUACUACGUGGGUGAUUCUUCCAGAUGUAUAUUACAAAGUAACAUUGCACACACAUACAUAGCCCAACUUAUAUUGUAUAUCAUCAUCUGAUUGUGCUUUAAAUAGCAUAUCGUAUUUUAUUCGCGCCCUCAGUAGUACACUCAGGGACAUCACUAUCAAUAAUUGUUAUCUUCCCAUUUCCAAUUGUUUUUCAUACGUCA